UACGUAGGGUGCAAGCGUUGUCCGGAAUUAUUGGGCGUAAAGAGCUCGUAGGCGGUUUGUCGCGUCGAAUGUGAAAACCCGGGGCUCAACCCCGGGCCUGCAUUCGAUACGGGCAGACUAGAGUUCGGUAGGGGAGUCUGGAAUUCCUGGUGUAGCGGUGAAAUGCGCAGAUAUCAGGAGGAACACCGGUGGCGAAGGCGGGACUCUGGGCCGAUACUGACGCUGAGGAGCGAAAGCGUGGGGAGCGAGCAGG
rnacentral:rRNA from 1 species